UACCAUUUGGAGGUUGCUAACAAGUAGGUU
rnacentral:piRNA from 1 species